AAAGGGGCGCAAGCUCCGAGUAUCCUGGCAAACGGGUGAGUAACACGUGGGUGACCUGCCUUCGAGUGGGGGAUAACGUUCCGAAAGGAACGCUAAUACCGCAUGACAUCCUGCGUUUGGAGACGCGGACAUCAAAGCUGGGGAUCGCAAGACCUGGCGCUCGGAGAGGGGCCCGCGGCUGAUUAGCUAGUUGGUGGGGUAAUGGCUCACCAAGGCGACGAUCAGUAUCCGGCCUGAGAGGGCGGACGGACACACUGGGACUGAGACACGGCCCAGACUCCUACGGGAGGCAGCAGUGGGGAAUUGUUCGCAAUGGGCGCAAGCCUGACGACGCAACGCCGCGUGGAGGACGAAGAUCUUCGGGUCGUAAACUCCUGUCGAGCGGGAAGAAUGGGUGGUGGGUGAAUACCCCAUCAUCGUGACGGUACCGCUAAAGGAAGCCCCGGCUAACUCCGUGCCAGCAGCCGCGGUAAUACGGGGGGGGCAAGCGUUGUUCGGAAUUACUGGGCGUAAAAGGCUCGUAAGCGGCCCACUAAAUCCGAUGUGAAAUCCCCCGGCUCAACCUGGGGAACUGCAUCCCAAUACUGGGAUGGCUUGAAUCCGGGA
rnacentral:rRNA from 1 species